rnacentral:rRNA from 1 species
UACGGGGGGGGCAAGCGUUGUUCGGAAUUACUGGGCGUAAAGGGCUAGUAGGCGGCCAUCUUAGUCAGACGUGAAAUCCCUCGGCUCAACCGGGGAACUGCGUCUGAUACUGGAUGGCUCGAAUCCGGGAGAGGGAUGCGGAAUUCCAGGUGUAGCGGUGAAAUGCGUAGAUAUCUGGAGGAACACCGGUGGCGAAGGCGGCAUCCUGGACCGGUAUUGACGCUGAAUAGCGAAAGCCAGGGGAGCAAACGGG